AAAAAAAAAAAAAAAAAUAAGGAAAUGUACGUUGUUCUAAUGUCGAGAAAAAUAUUGAAAUCGAAGGAAAGCUGAAGAAAGCAACGACGAAGAAACGCAGAAGAAAUAGCGCAGAUUUGGAAAAGAAAAGAAAAGAAAUCAGGACGAACCCGUUCAUUUCGCGGUGUACACUCGAAUCGCGUUCCUUUUCACCAGUUAGACAGAUAUCGAUUAUACCAAACAUUCCUUUCAUUGGAAAUGUGUUUCAAUAUAAUCAACGAUACCAACUUUGACGAUUUAUCCAAAUUUUUCUCUCUCAAAUGUUGUCUCUGAAAAAAGUUGCUUUUUUCUUUUUUUUUUUUUUUUUUUUAAUCUUCAUGAAUGUUGUACGUACACUUGAAACUCCCUAUAGAUAUUUACAUAUGUGCUUUCGAUAAGGGCAAAAAAUUGUUUUCAGUUAUAAGAGAAAAAGUAAAGAUAGCGGGUAUGCGUUUUAUCGUUCAAGAAACGUCUACGAAGACAAUUUUUUUUUAUCGAGGGUACGAAACUCGUAGUAUUUUUUUUUAUAUACAAUAUAUAAUCAUUUGUGAAAAAAAAAAAAACAAAAUUCUCCAAUAAGAAAACGAUUAUUGUUUUGGGGGAAAUAUAAAUAAGGAAUUGGUUAAAUCGACCGUUUGCAUGAUAUAUGAAUCGUAUUCCAUUUAACGUUUUUCUAUUAUAUUAUUUUCUAUCGUUUAUACACGUUGAUAAGAUCCUUAGGUGCUUCAUUAUCCAUCUCGACCCACCAAAGAGAGCCACCAGCCCCCACAUUCUUACCGUACUCACGCAUUCUCUUUGAUUAGCAGACGCCGAUUUCGGAUAAGUUUCAUCCUCCUUAAAAAAACAAAAAGAAAA